rnacentral:rRNA from 1 species
UACGGAGGGAGCUAGCGUUGUUCGGAAUUACUGGGCGUAAAGCGCACGUAGGCGGCUUUUUUAAGUCAGGGGGUGAAAUCCCCGGGGCUCAACCCCGGAACUGCCCCUUGAAACUGGAGAGCUAGAAUCUUGGAGAGGCGAGUGGAAUUCCGAGUGUAGAGGUGAAAUUCGUAGAUAUUCGGAAGAACACCAGUGGCGAAGGCGACU